rnacentral:rRNA from 1 species
GAUGAACGCUGGCGGCGUGCCUAACACAUGCAAGUCGAACGGGGUACAGACGCUGAAGAUCAGAGUGCUUGCACGAAGAGAUUCUUGUAUGUACUUAGUGGCGGACGGGUGAGUAACGCGUGGAAAACCUGCCUCAUACAGGGGGAUAACAGGGAGAAAUUCCUGCUAAUACCGCAUAAGCGCACGAGGUGGCAUCACAAAGUGUGAAAAGAUUUAUCGGUAUGAGAUGGUUCCGCGUCCGAUUAGUUAGUUGGCGGGGUAAAGGCCCACCAAGACGACGAUCGGUAGCCGGCCUGAGAGGGCGGACGGCCACAUUGGGACUGAGACACGGCCCAGACUCC